CAAUACCUCCCACAGCCUGUCACCACCUAACCCAGGACAGGAUGUUGUUGUGAGGUCAGCGGUCAAACCAAGAGGAAACUCCGUCCACCACCAUCACUACGGCCCCCAGGCCCAAUUGCUACCUCCCAUUGGCUAUCCCAUGUGGCCCUCGAUGACGUCAUCGCUACCUGAAGGGCAGGGCGGGCCUCAUAUGCCGUCCGUGCAGCAUGUGACCCGCCCCAUCUCAUUGCCCCCACUUAACAUGUAUUAGCCUAGCCCUGAACAAUAUUCCCUAACCCCGAUCUUGAGAUAUUGUCUUCAUAUUUCAAAAUAUAUACAGAUAGAUGAUUGAUUGUAAAUGUAAAAUGUAUACAUUGAUAUUAUGUUUGAUAAGCAUCGUUUCAGUAUAGCCAAAUAUAAUGGUUGAAUGGAGAAUUUGCUUCUUGGCACUGGCAACAUGUUCUAAAUUCAAAUGUGUUGGCCUACUAUGAUUCGUGGUUGCAAAAGAGUGUGCAAAUGACAAAGGUCUGUAAACAUGCAUCAGGACUUCAAAAUAAAUAAAACAAGAUUUGCAAACAUG